rnacentral:tRNA from 1 species
CAGGAAAUAGUUUAUUUUAAAAUAUUAAUUUUGGGGAUUAAUGAUAGGGGUUUCUCUUUUCCUGA